rnacentral:rRNA from 1 species
GACGAACGCUGGCGGCGUGCUUAACACAUGCAAGUCGUACGGAAAGGCCCUGCUUUUGUGGGGUGCUCGAGUGGCGAACGGGUGAGUAACACGUGAGUAACCUGCCCUUGACUUUGGGAUAACUUCAGGAAACUGGGGCUAAUACCGGAUAGGAGCUCCUGCUGCAUGGUGGGGGUUGGAAAGUUUCGGCGGUUGGGGAUGGACUCGCGGCUUAUCAGCUUGUUGGUGGGGUAGUGGCUUACCAAGGCUUUGACGGGUAGCCGGCCUGGGAGGGUGACCGGCCACAUUGGGACUGAGAUACGGCCCAGACUCCUACGGGAGGCAGCAGUGGGGAAUAUUGCACAAUGGGCGGAAGCCUGAUGCAGCAACGCCGCGUGCGGGAUGACGGCCUUCGGGUUGUAAACCGCUUUCGCCUGUGACGAAGCGUGAGUGACGGUAAUGGGUAAAGAAGCACCGGCUAACUACGUG